rnacentral:rRNA from 1 species
AGUGAACGCUGGCGGUAGGCCUAACACAUGCAAGUCGAACGGCAGCACAGUAAGAGCUUGCUCUUACGGGUGGCGAGUGGCGGACGGGUGAGGAAUACAUCGGAAUCUACUUUUUCGUGGGGGAUAACGUAGGGAAACUUACGCUAAUACCGCAUACGACCUACGGGUGAAAGCAGGGGAUCUUCGGACCUUGCGCGAUUGAAUGAGCCGAUGUCGGAUUAGCUAGUUGGCGGGGUAAAGGCCCACCAAGGCGACGAUCCGUAGCUGGUCUGAGAGGAUGAUCGGCCACACUGGAACUGAGACACGGUCCAGACUCCUACGGGAGGCAGCAGUUGGGAAUAUUGGACAAUGGGCGCAAGCCUGAUCCAGCCAUACCGCGUGGGUGAAGAAGGCCUUCGGGUUGUAAAACCCUUUUGUUGGGAAAGAAAAGCAGCAGGUUAAUACCCCGCUGUUCUGACGGUACCCAAAGAAUAAGCACCGGCUAACUUCGUG